UCCUAACAAUGUGCAGGGCAGUGGCCCA
rnacentral:piRNA from 1 species